rnacentral:rRNA from 1 species
GACAGAGGGUGCAAACGUUGUUCGGAAUUACUGGGCGUAAAGCGCGUGUAGGCGGUCUCGCAAGUCGGAUGUGAAAGCCCCGGGCUCAACCCGGGAAGUGCACUCGAUACUGUCGAGCUAGAGUAUCGGAGAGGUUGGUGGAAUUCUCGGUGUAGAGGUGAAAUUCGUAGAUAUCGAGAGGAACACCGGUGGCGAAGGCGGCCAACUGGACGAAUACUGACGCUGAGACUCGAAAGCGUGGGGGAGCAAACAGG